UGUCGCUGAGGAAAGCAUCACGUAAAGGAGAAUGUUUUCUUAUUUGUUAUAUUCUGUAAUAUUAAUUUGACGAGCCGUAGACUACUUUGGCAAAAUAUUGUAUCACUUCACAUUCCCAGCGUGAGUGUAUUGGAGACACACUUCCCACAUCGCUGCCAGUCGUAGUGGUUCUGCCCUUUAUAAUCAUUGCCCACUUGACGGAAAUGUACUUAAUUGUUGCCUUAUUUUAAAUUGGCUUUACCACAAGUGAGAUUGAGCACCUUUGCACAUUUUUGGGGGCAUUUUGGUUUCCUCUUCUGUGAGUUUCCUAUUCGUAUCCAGUGACAACUUUAUUAUAAAUUUAUCUGUCUUUUUCUGAAUUACUGGAGGACGUUUUGCAAAUAGUAAGUGUAAUAACGUUUUAUUUGUCACGUGUUUUAUUGUUGACAUUGUUCCAAUGCUAUUAUUUUUCUUGAAACUUUUAGAAGUUGGCCUUUGCACCCUAGACGUAUGUUUUUGAAACAUCUGCGUGUGUCUGGGUUCCGGAUGUGAAAAAGUUCUCCCGUCCCCGCAAACCCGCCAUUACCGUUCCUCUUCUGGUUGGUGUUAUUUGAAUCACAUGGACAGCCUGAGGAAGAAGAAAUUGUAUUUCUUUCACUCAUGCCUUUUUGUUUAAUUCUGGACUGGCUUCCACAGGAUGGUUUUCAGUGUAAGUGAAACUCCAAAAUCCACUCUAAUAGUACGCUUAACGACCUC
rnacentral:lncRNA from 1 species